AGAGUUUGAUCCUGGCUCAGGAUGAACGCUAGCUACAGGCUUAACACAUGCAAGUCGCGGGGCAGCAUGGGGGUUGCUUGCAACUCCCGAUGGCGACCGGCGCACGGGUGAGUAACGCGUAUCCAACCUGCCCUUCACCACGGGAUAACCCGGCGAAAGUCGGACUAAUACCGUAUGUUGUCCAUUGACGGCAUCCGAUUUGGACGAAAGGCUUGGCGGUGAGGGAUGGGGAUGCGUCCGAUUAGCCAGACGGCGGGGUAACGGCCCACCGUGGCGACGAUCGGUAGGGGUUCUGAGAGGAAGGUCCCCCACACUGGAACUGAGACACGGUCCAGACUCCUACGGGAGGCAGCAGUGAGGAAUAUUGGUCAAUGGGCGGAAGCCUGAACCAGCCAAGUAGCGUGCAGGAUGACGGCCCUAUGGGUUGUAAACUGCUUUUAUGCGGGGAUAAAGUGGCCCACGUGUGGGUUUUUGCAGGUACCGCAUGAAUAAGGACCGGCUAAUUCCGUGCCAGCAGCCGCGGUAAUACGGAAGGUCCGGGCGUUAUCCGGAUUUAUUGGGUUUAAAGGGAGCGUAGGCCGCGCCUUAAGCGUGUUGUGAAAUCCGGGUGCUCAACAUCCGGCUUGCAGCGCGAACUGGGGCGCUUGAGUGCGCAGAAAGUAGGCGGAAUUCGUGGUGUAGCGGUGAAAUGCUUAGAUAUCACGAGGAACUCCGAUUGCGAAGGCAGCCUACUGUAGCGCUACUGACGCUGAUGCUCGAAAGCGUGGGUAUCGAACAGGAUUAGAUACCCUGGUAGUCCACGCGGUAAACGAUGGAUGCUCGUUGUCGGCCCUUUGGGUCGGUGACCAAGCGAAAGCGUUAAGCAUCCCACCUGGGGAGUACGCCGGCAACGGUGAAACUCAAAGGAAUUGACGGGGGCCCG
rnacentral:rRNA from 1 species